rnacentral:rRNA from 1 species
AAAUGAAUAGACGGGGGCCCGCACAAGCGGAGGAACAUGUGGUUUAAUUCGAUGAUACGCGAGGAACCUUACCCGGGCUCGAACGGUGCAUGAAUGCAAGAGAGAUUUUGCAGGUUUUCGGACCAUGUAUCGAGGUGCUGCAUGGUUGUCGUCAGCUCGUGCCGUGAGGUGUCGGCUUAAGUGCCAUAACGAGCGCAACCCUUGUCAUUAGUUGCCAUCAGGUCAAGCUGGGGACUUUAAUGAGACUGCCACCGUAAGGUGUGAGGAAGGUGGGGAUGACGUCAAAUCAGCACGGCCCUUAUGUCCGGGGCGACACACGUGUUACAAUGGGGGGUACAGAGGGCAGCCAUCCGGUGACGGAGCGCUAAUCUCGAAAACCCUUCUCAGUUCGGAUUGGAGUCUGCAACUCGACUCCAUGAAGGUGGAUUCGCUAGUAAUCGCGCAUCAGCCAUGGCGCGGUGAAUACGUUCCCGGGCCUUGUACACACCGCCCGU